GAAGCGGCAACAGCUCAAAUUUGAAAUCUGGCGUAAGCCCGAGUUGUAAUUUGUAGAGGAUGCUUCAGGGCAGCGGCCGGUCUAAGUCUCUUGGAACAGGGCGUCAUAGAGGGUGAGAAUCCCGUAUGCGACCGGCUGGCACCCGUCACGUAGCUCCUUCGACGAGUCGAGUUGUUUGGGAAUGCAGCUCUAAAUGGGAGGUAAAUUUCUUCUAAAGCUAAAUACCGGCCAGAGACCGAUAGCGCACAAGUAGAGUGAUCGAAAGAUGAAAAGCACUUUGGAAAGAGAGUUAAAAAGCACGUGAAAUUGUUGAAAGGGAAGCGCAUGCAACCAGACUUGUCGGCGGUGUUCCGCCGGUCUUCUGACCGGUCUACUCGCCGCCGGCAGGCCAGCAUCAUCUGGGCGCGCCGGACAAAGGCGCGGGGAAUGUGGCUCCUCGGAGUGUUAUAGCCCCGCGCACAAUACGGCGCCGCCCGGGUGAGGUCCGCGCUUCGGCUAGGAUGCUGGCGUAAUGGUUGUCUGCGGCCCGUCUUGAAACACGGACCAAGGAGUCUAACAUCUAUGCGAGUGUUCGGGUGUCAAACCCCUACGCGGAAUGAAAGUGAACGGAGGUGGGAAGCGCAAGCUGCACCAUCGACCGAUCCUGAUGUCUUCGGAUGGAUUUGAGUAAGAGCAUAGCUGUUGGGACCCGAAAGAUGGUGAACUAUGCCUGAAUAGGGUGAAGCCAGAGGAAACUCUGGUGGA
rnacentral:rRNA from 1 species